GUAGUAAGCAGAGUACAAAAACAAGUUAGCAAAACAGGAAGAAAAAAAACCUACUACUGGCAGAAUUGUUACUAAAGGGAGACAAUGAAGCAUUUUAAGGAACUUACCUUUCUCAUUUUUGUGCAUCAUUUCUAUGACCGUGGAGGGACUACAGCUGUCCUCAGUCAAGACAUUCAAAACCAUCAACGCUGCACAUAUUCAGCUUCAAAUAUACUGGAGAAUUUGGCUAAAGAGGGAUUCAAUUUCCGUGAAGAAAGUUGGGUUUUAAAUAAUACUGUUAUAGCCAUGACAUCAUAUCCUAAUAUCACAGAAUUUGAAAAGAGCACAGUCGAAAUCUCAUCUAAGGGGGAAAUUACCCUCUUUCAGCCUAUGAACAUCAACUACAUUGUCACAUGUAAAGACUUAAAUGGAAAUCCAUCGGAGAAAAGAAAGGAGUUUUCUGUUCAAGAAUGUCGUCGUGGAGACGUCCCUAAGCCCUGGAUAAUUCCCGCAAUGAACACAAUGACGUUCACUUAGAGGAUUGGUAAGAACACAGUGCAGUAACAUAGUCAAGCCAAAAGAACAAGCUGCAGACUAUACCAUCCUAGAGCAAUCACCUCACUAAACAAAUUCAAGCCUAAUGGGAAUUUGAUGAAAAACAGUCUUUGAAAAUACAGCAGUUUUGCUGCUCAUCGAUCAUUUCCCUGCGAUGCAAAGCACUAUAUUUUAUGUUGAAUCCUGGGAAAAUGAGCAACAAAAGUCCUGUACAUAUCAAGGGAGAUGCUCUUUGUUGGGAAUGACAACUGCACAGUAAAGCACUGCAUGACCUAGAGCUAUAUCUAACACUGCACUUAUCAAAAGAGUAGGAGCUUCGCAUGUUCUGACCAAAUUCCUAGUUGGGCACUCUCUGUCUGGUAAUCUAAUAAUUUGCCACUUUAAUUGGCUGCAUAAAUCCUUCCCUCUCUUCUCUGGUGAUGUGCAGUGAGCAUUCUGGCACAAAAUGGCUGCCAUGCAUCAUCCAGAUGGGAGAUACACAUCUGUGGUGGGUGGGAUGAUUUUUUGCCGCUCUUACUGUGAGGGUAUGUGAAUGCAAUCCAUUUUUUGUAUUGCAGUCUGUGUGCUCAGCGCCCUUGCUGUAAUCAUAGGAGCAGUAAUCAUAGGAGUAGUAAUCUGCAAGAGAAGGGGGCAAAGGAAGCGUUUCUCAGAUGAUCCUGAGAAUGCCAUAAAUCUGAAAACACUGAUCCGGAACUGUGAGCGAGACCAGGAUCUGGAACAGAAACGUGUGCAAGACCAGGGUCUCCACCUGAACUCUGAGCAAGACCAGGACCAGGAUCAGGACCAGGACCAAGACCAGGGUCUCCACCUGAACUCUGAGCAAGACCAGGACCAGGACCAGGACCAGGACCAAGACCAGGACCAGGACCAGGACCUUUCCACCUAGUGAGUAGUCCUCUUUUUUUUUAGACAGGAAGUUUCCAGAAGAACUAAUUUGUCCCAGACCCUGUCUCCUUCAUUUUUCUGUUAAUCCCCUCAUGCUACUGACUAUGUUGGCAACAAACUGAACUCUUUCCAAUACCUUAUUUUUAUUCCUUAAAAAAAAAGAAAAAAAAGAAUUUUAGUUAGUUUUUUUGUACCAUAUUUAUUAUCGACUCCCGUGUGCAGCUGAGGAAACACCCUGACCCCCAGCAGCUGGAAUGAGGCGCAUGCUGCGAUCCGCCCUGCUGAGUCCUGACCCCCACCCUUGAAGCGGCAGCCCAAUUAUCGCCGCUUCCCCAUGCGUUGGUCAUACUGCAUGGGGACCUGCAUGGAAUCAGUCCAGCGCCUUGACCGUGGGCCACAGCAGCGCCCAAUCACUUAUUUUAUACUUCCUUCUUCCUUUUAUUUCCAUUGGGGGAGGUGGAGACGGAGGAAUCGCCAAUUAAACAUGAAUUAGGCAAAUAGAAUGUACUUGCUCUUUCAAACGUCAGUUUAAGGCAACGUCAGUUACAGACUUGGCAGAUGGGGAGCCCUGGAUUGACAGGUUGAUCAAUUAUAUGUCACAUUUCCUGAAAAAAUACUUCCGCAAAGGAUGUGGUCAUGUGUUGAUCAAGAGAUAUUUGGGAGCCUCCUACUUCCUGGCUUCUGACUCCUAGAAGUAACAUUUAGCAGAUUGGAAGAUGGCGGACCUCAAUCGAUUUCUGGGUCAGGCAAGGGGCAAGAAGACGGGAGGUCAAAAAUAGACGAUUGGAAGGAGCCCAGUGUCUUGCUAUUGGCUGAAUGGCAGUAGUUUAUCAUGCUCCUAGCUGUAUGGCAACAACUUCUCCUGCUUUUGGCUGAAUGACAGCAUCCCAUCUCUCUAAUGGAUGUCUGGCCAUGUUCUGUCUCCCCAAACAGUUCUACGGGUCUUUCAUUUACACUACCAGAACAGCUUCAGGCCCCAUUUUAAUUCAGUUAAAGAGGCUUUUAUUGGCAUGAAAUUCACUGAGUAAAUAUUGCUGGAGUGCAAUUUUACCCUCCCCCUCUCCCCUCACUUUCUCUGUCUCUGUCUUCUCUGCAGGCUACGAGAAGUUCAGGCAAGGAGUCGGCGUGGAGUCUCUCCAGUCUGAAAAAAAGAACUAAAAUAUAUAUUAAAAAAAAAUAUAUAUAUAUAUAUUUUUUUUUUUUAAAUAAAUAUAUAUUAUAAAAAUAAAAAUACAUAUUUUUUCUAAUAAGAAUGAUAUAUAUAUAUUUUUUUAUAUUUAUUUUUUUUUUCUAAUAAGAAUGAUAUAUAUAUAUAUAUAUAUAUAUAUAUAUAUAUAUAUAUUAAUGACUGGAUAAAUGUUUUACAUUUUUUAUCAAUGUGGAAACCACAGUGGGAAUGUGACUUCAAAUAUAAUCAUCUCAUUACUUAAGUCACUACUACACCAGGCGCAUUCACAUUUUCACCAGCGUCUGGCUAAUGAUCACAUGGUUUCUUGGGUUGUUUAAAAAAAAAAAGAUGUCUCUGUGCAAGGGACAUACUUGUCUUUUACUGCUUUGCUAUUUACUUCAUACCACAGCUUGUUUAGAUAUGUAUUGUUAAGAAUAAAAUGUAUCCUUUCUGAAA